rnacentral:rRNA from 1 species
AUUGAACGCUGGCGGUAGGCCUAACACAUGCAAGUCGAACGCGAAAGUCCUUCGGGAUGAGUAGAGUGGCGGACGGGUGAGUAACGCGUAGGAAUCUAUCCUGUAGUGGGGGAUAACGUUUCGAAAGGAACGCUAAUACCGCAUACGCCCCAAGGGGGAAAGCGGGGGAUCUUCGGACCUCGUGCUAUAGGAGGAGCCUGCGUCGGAUUAGCUAGUUGGUGAGGUAAAGGCUCACCAAGGCGACGAUCCGGAGCUGGUCUGAGAAGAUGAUCAGCCACACCGGAACUGAGACACGGGCCGGACGCCUACGGGAGGCAGCAGUGGGGAGUAUUGCGCAAUGGGCGAAAGCCUGACGCAGCCAUACCGCGUGUGUGAAGAAGGCCUUCGGGUUGUAAAGCACUUUCAGUGGGGAGGAAAAGCUGGUGGCUAAUAUCCAUCGGCCGUGACGCUACCCACAGAAGAAGCACCGGCUAAUUCCGUGCCAGCAGCCGCAGUAA